AGGACGAACGCUGGCGGCGUGCUUAACACAUGCAAGUCGAGCGGAAAGGCCCUUCGGGGUACUCGAGCGGCGAACGGGUGAGUAACACGUGAGCAACCUGCCCCUGGCUCUGGGAUAGCCUCCGGAAACGGGGAUUAAUACCGGACAUUCACUUCCUUCCGCAUGGUUGGGGGUGGAAAGUUUUUCGGCCGGGGAGGGGCUCGCGGCCUAUCAGCUUGUUGGCGGGGUAACGGCCCACCAAGGCGACGACGGGUAGCCGGCCUGAGAGGGCGACCGGCCACACUGGGACUGAGACACGGCCCAGACUCCUACGGGAGGCAGCAGUGGGGAAUAUUGCGCAAUGGGCGGAAGCCUGACGCAGCGACGCCGCGUGGGGGAUGAAGGCCUUCGGGUUGUAAACCCCUUUCACCAGGAGCGAAUCCAGACGGUACCUGGGAAGAAGCGCCGGCUAACUACGCGCCAGCAGCCGC
rnacentral:rRNA from 1 species